CCCCCUUAAUCAGCUGGAAUACUAACCCUAUUUACCUAGGAAUAAACCCCACUGAAUACAAUUGGUAUUACUUCUUAAUAGACACGGCUAGAGUUGCAAACAGUGCUGCAGCUGUUCAGCAAUACCCAUAACCCUUCCAAAAUAGGAGUGUCACUUAAAUGGCUUUAAAGAAGAUAAGAUAAAUUCAUGGUGAGCACAACUACUAGCCAUGAUACUAUGUUAUACCUUCACUGUCAGAGACAUUACGUCAUAGUCUCAUUGCCGAGCAACAACGUGGAAUAAUAGCCCAGCCAACCAGAAGAGUCUCUGAGGUGUACUUGCCUGGAAGCAGAGUCAGCACCCAAAAUCAGGUCCAGUCCUGCAAACAGCAAUCCGUGGGGUCAGAUUGUUCAGGGAACCUAUUGAUCAUGGGGUCAAGACAAGCAGGAAGCAGCAAGGUAGGGCCAGGAACUACAAGUAUUGUCACCAGCAUUUGCCUGCUGCUGGAAGCUCUGCUUAAGAAGGCUGAAGCCAGCUGGUUCUCAUCAGUGCCUUCUCCUCUGAGUCCUUGAAGGCUGAUCAGCUGCAGGUGGAGACACUUCACCUUCUCCCCCUUCAGGCUGCUGUUCAGCAGGUGAAACUGACUCUUGGCACAUGACACAUUAUGCUUCCGGAUGCCAAUUGCUGGGAUCAGCAACUGGUCAGACUGCUGCUUGCAGGCUCCCACAGGCAUCUGGUUGGCCACUGUGAGAACAGAACAAUCAAUGUAUAUUCGUUAUUAUGUAGCUGUCGGUUAAACCACAGAACCUAGGACUUGGUGAUCAGAAGGUUGGCAGUUUGAAUCCCCGCGAUGGGGUGAGCUCCCAUUGCUUGGUCCCUGCUCUUGCCAACCUAGCAGUUCAAAAGCACGUCAAAGUGUAAGUAGAUAAAUAGGUACCGCUCUGGCGGGAAGGUAAACGGCAUUUCUGUGCACUGCUCUGGUUCGCUAGAAGCGGUUUAGUCAUGCUGGCCACAUGACCCGGAAGCUAUACACCGGCUCCCUCGGCCAAUACAGCGAAAUGAGCGCUGCAACCCCAGAGUCGGCCACGACUGGACCUAAUGGUCAGGGGUUCCUUUACCCUUUACCUUUAUAGCAGAAAUAUUUUUUGCUGUGUUGAAAAAAAAUACUUUUCUGCUGCUCCACGCAAUCUCUAAUAGAAGAAAAUUCAUCAGCACAAAAUGGUGGGCUUUCUCACCAUGGCAGCCAGCUGAUGACUAUGGUAUAUUUUUCCACAUACAUUAUCUGUGUUGUGGAGGAGGGAAAUCACAUGCAUUAUAUAAAUAAGAGGAGAUUGGGGAGAGAUUUUUUUUUAUUAGAAACAUGUAAAGAAAGGAAAAGAGGGCCCUAUAUCACUUCAAUUUGUUCUAUACUGUCCACAGAAGGGAAGAGAAGGGGAAUAUGUUUCAGCCAAAACUAACAAACAUCCAGCUACCCCUCAUUCCACAUUCUCUGGUUUUGAGCUUUUCCACUGAAAAGAGCCCCAUAAGUCAAGAAUGUUAAAAUUACCAGGAAGACUGUGCACACACAACUCAUCACAAAUCCUGGCCUAGCUAUAACCACAUGUUACAGUGUGCAAGUAUGCGUACCAGUUCAUCAUAAUCUUUCAGAACCGGGGAGGAAGAGGAGGGGGGAAUGUCACAAACUGAUCUAUACAUUUGCACACGCAGAGGUACAACAAAAGAAGUUUCUGCGCUAUGGCUCCUGUGAGAAUUGCGUUUCCUGAGGGUUGUAAAGGCAACACACUUUAAAAUGCACUGUCUUAACAUUGUUCUCUACUGCCUCCUCCCUCCCACCUUUCGACUCUCACAGCUACCACAUGUGAUGGAAAAAGUCCAAGCCAAACACUCUUACCAGAGCAUGCUAUAAGACAGAUGACUAGGCCUCAGGCUUGGCCACUACAAUGCUGUUCUAUUCUGUAUUUAUUUUUGUAGUUCAAAGACCUGGCAGCAGCCCAUCUGAUGCCUGCCACAGGGACUGGUACACUUGUUAUUACUGCGGUGAAAAUUUCAAGCCUACAGUCAGUGUGUGAGAGAGAGUGUAUGUGUAAACACACUCACACACUUCAGUAAUGUGCCAGCCACCAAGACAGAAAAUGUACUAAUAGCAAGAGGGAUAUUUGAAUUAAGCCAGCUUCCAUUGAUGAUAGGCUGCCAACUGGUGGACCUUUCGUUAAUCACAGCAACCCUGUAAAAGAGGUUUGUUUUCUCCUUAUCUUAGGUCACUCAGCAGCCCAGCAAUAAGCGAUCUUCAUAAAGCAUUCUUUAUUUGUUUCCAAAGGUGACAUGCCUUUCCCCCACAUUACUUACAAAAGCAAGUUAUCAUCAUGUAUCACUAUCAUUUUCAUGCGCUUUCUUUCUUUUUUUAAAGUGAUGCUAUGCAAUGCACUAGACUUUUAAAAAGUCAAAUUAGUAUUGGGUAUAAUUAAUCAGCAUAGUGAUUCCCCCCCCCCCAUACAUGUUCAAUGUAGUCCAUAUAUUAUUUCAUUCUCCGAAAUAACUGAUUUAGCCUAAAGAACAUUUUGGGUGCAACCCAGAAAAAAAUGAUCAAAUAUAUUAAAGUCUCAUUAAAAGAAAUCUGAAAUAAUUGAUUUUAAUGGGGCUACAGUAUAUUAUGUAACUUCUUCUGUGUUGUGCCCAUUGCAAUAAACAUUAAAUUAUUACAGAAGAACAAAAUCUACAUGUAAUACGAAAAUGUGGCUCAGAAACAGCCAUAUCAAGCCAAGUUUAGCAUCAAAAUAAAAUUCCGGGAGAGGUGCAUUCUCUCACCUUCAGCUACUUCAGCUUUUAUUAAAGAGGAAUUGACUUGACUCCAGUUUCAUUUAGAUAUCAAAACAGUCCCAAGAUUUGUGAUGUAUUUCUUGUAUUUAUUUCAAGAAAUGUUUGCUAGCAUCAGAGUCAGAGCCAAACUGAUUAGGGCUCCAGGCAGCACCAGAAAGAUUCAAUUCUGUUAGUGAAAGUUCACAGAACAAUGCUGCCAUGCUGAAAGGGGGGUUGGCUGCUCUACUGAGCUCUGACAGGGCAUUGUGGGGGGCAGCCUCAACCAUGGUAAAGGUCCAUGCUGUACAUGCAGAAAGCACAGGUGGAUGAAAGCUACCACCAGUGGUUUCCUUCCCCUAGUACCCAAGGGAAGCACCCCAAAUGGAGCAUUUCUUGGGUGAGGAAUGAGUGGAACUGGUGCAGCCAAGGCAUAGCUGUGAAGUGUCUCUUAUUUGGCGGGACAGUCCCUUAUCCCAGCGCCAUGUCCCGCUGCUGUCCCUUAUUGAUGAGGCUUCAUUUGGCUGCUGGCUGGGCUUUCUGCCUUUGGCUCAGAGGGGCUCAGAAGUUGAACAUACCUGUGCCCAGAAAAUCCCUUAUUUUGGCUUCUGAUCCCUUAUUUUCAAGGCUGCUGGUCCCUUAUUUUCAAAUCUGUAAGUUGACAGCUAUGAGCCAAUGAUCCACUGGAUCAUAAACUGGCCCAGCUACCAGCAAUGGGACUGAUCUGGGAGUUUCUGCUGUUCCAGUUUGGAACAAGCAAAACAUGGAAUGAAACCGUUUUGCCUGCUGUGAAGUGCUCCUUGCAACUCCACUGCUCCCAGGUGGAAAGUACGACUGCUCCUUUCGUGCCUUAUCCCUUAAGCUACUUUGUACAUGAUUAUACAUACUUCCUUGCCAAUUUAUUUAAUCAAAAUAUACGGCAACCCAAAGAGAGGUUUCUUCAAAAUGAAAUGUCUGACUUGUAUAUUAUUAGAAUAAUUUUUAAAAAACCUUCAACUGUAUGAUAUUGGUUUUCUUCUUUUGACUCAGCAGCAUUUAAUAUGCUUACUAUCGCUGGAUUUCAUCUUGUUUUAGAAAUCACUUGCUGCCAACCUGCAAAAUAAAUUUAAUUUUGAUUUAUUUUUCCUCCUAAAAGAUGUUUCUAUGGAUAAUCUUGAAAUAAUAGGAAAAGAACAGUGGGCAGUUUUAUGCUGUAAGGAACAUUUUUAAAGAACAUUUGUAUGUUUAUAUAUGGUCAUUUACACAUACAUUUCUGCUCAGGAUAAAUUAAGAAGUGAUUGACAUCUUAGUAGUAUAAAUGUGGUUUUCAAAAUGCGCUUCAAAUAUUAAGAAGCGAAUUGUAUUUUUACCAGUCUUAAUGUAACAGAAACAAACAUGUUACAUAUACUUACACAAUAAAUUUAUUAACUGUUUACUUAUUAAAUCCAGUCCUGGUGGAAAUUAUACGCAGAAAGACUAUGAAUCUGAUUUCUGUUUUGAAAAUGAGCUAUCCCCAUUAUCUAAAAUCUGUCAUUUUUUUGAGACAAUGGAAAUGUUCAUCCUCUCCAGACUGUAUACAAAUAUAGAGGAGUUUUUUAAAAAAAAAAAAUGGGUAUCUAAUAAUUAUCAAAAAAUAAACAGAUCAAUAUUCAUUCUUUGUUCAAUGGGAUAUAAUCCCAAAUACGUAUUUAUAGGUUUAUCACAUACAUCUAAAAAUGGGUUGCAUCUGUAUGUUGCAAAGGAAAAUUUCCUUCCAAUGCAAAAAACAUCUUCAAAGGAGCAUUUUCCAGCAGGAUCUGAGCAGGGGAGGAAAGUUAAUCUUUCCUUCCCUACCUGCUGUGAUCCCAAUUUUUAUCAGACACACAAUCAGCUGCUAUUUCCAGUAUUUAAAAUAUGUCUAUUUAAUGUAAAAAAAAAAAAUUAACAUCAUAUCUGGUUUGCUCAAGAAUGUAAAAAGAAAAGUGGCAUAAGACAUUUCCAAUUAUAUUCUAACCAUUACCUCUUUCUAUGAGACAUCAACUGGCUGUCCUGGCCCAGAUUACUGACAAGUAAUCUGGUUGACAAAGGAACCACCAGCUGGAUACAAUGAUGCUCAUUCCUACUUCCCAUGAAACUUUGUUCUGGAAAUCCAAGUUAAAUAGAAGGGUAAAGGUUUUUUAUUUAGGAACAUAAAACAAGCUAUACUGGAUUAUGCCACAAUCUCAUCUAGCCCAUCUCUCUUUUCUCACUGUGGCCAACCAGAUGUCUAUGGGAAACCCACAAAGAGAAACCAAGAAUGACAGUGUUCUUCCCACUUGUGAUUACCAGCAACUGAUAUUCAGUGACAUACUCCAAAAGUGGGGAUAAAAAAAACUUAGCCAUUAUGGCUAAUAGCCAUUGAAAGCUUUAUCCUCCAUGAAUUUGUCUAAUCCUUAUUUAAACUCAACCAACUUGGUGGUCAUCACUACAUCUUCUGGGAGCGAAUUCCAUAGCUUAACUAUGUAUAGUGUGAAGAACUGUUUUCUUUUGUCUGUUCAGCUUCUUCAGAUGGCUCUGGAUUUCUAGUAUUAUGAGAGAGGGACAAAUCCAUGCUUAGCAGAUGAUAUAACUGAAAUAAAAAUCAGAAGUGGAAUUAUCAGCUAAUCGUUACUGAUUUUCCUCAUUCUUUUUCUUUCUCUUUUGUUCCUUUCUUUCCCAGCCUUUAAAAGUUUUCUGCAAAGUAAAGGUGUAUUUAUGGUACAUUCAUAGUACUUGUGGUAAUUGGUGGGAUGUGUGUCUUUUUCAGAACAAAGCCACAUUGUGUUAGACUGAGCAGGGUCCAUGCAGAGUUAUUAAAAGAAAGAUGGGAGGUGGGAGGUGGGGGUGAGGGAACAUUCACUUUGCUUGAACAAUAUUUUGUGACAACAUGUGAAAUUCAUACAGAAAACAAAGCACAAAUUAGCAGCUCAUCAGCAUCUGUGAAGCCACACAAGGUACGAAAAACAUAUUCAUUAAAAAAAAAUGUGAAUCAAAUAGAUGUGUGGCUCUACACCUGGUUGAAAAUUCAUAACUAAAGAAUAAUGAGUGGCUUGAUAUAAUAUCCAGUAAAUUUCAGUGGGUUCCAGUAUAUAUGACAUGCAGAACAUACUCCUAAAAUUUGCAAAUGGCAAAAUAAUAGGGAAGCCUGAGAAAAAGCUUCAAAUAGGACAAGCUUCAAAUAGGAAGAACAAUGUAAGGGGGGGGAAAUUGUAUGUUGAAAAAAGUAUUUCCAUUUAAGUUUUAUUAAUUAAUUUCACUGGAUGACCCUAAUCGCUGAUAUUGUGAAAGAGACUAUUUUCUUUAUUCACUCUGAAAAUAUAAUUCAUACUUUUACUUAAAUCUCUCUUUCUCCCCAUCCCUCCUCUAGUAUGGUCCCAGUUACAGAUAACGGACACUGGCACCAGGGCUGCAAUAAGCCCAGAUGUGCAGCUUUGCCACAUACACCCGGACAACACCAUUACUGGCUAACAACAUCACACAUACCAUCUGAGGACUAUUCAAUUGCUCAUCAUCUAACAUUGUGUAUGGCAUCAAAUGCAACAGUGUCCUUCAGCUCUCUAUAUUGGACAAACCAGGCAAACCUUACGCCAAAGAAUAAAUGGACAUAAAUCUGACGUCAGAAUCACAAAACAGAGAGCCAGUAGGAGAACACUUCCAAUCUCCCAGGACAUUCUAUGCAAGAUCUCAAAGUAGCUGUUUUACUACAAAGAAUUUCAGAAAUAGACUGGAAAGAAGCACUGAAUUACAACUCAUUGCCAAACUUAAAACCAUGGAAGACCCUGGUUGAACAAGGCAGUGGAUUCUUAUCCCAUUAUACAUGACUAAGCCAUUUCUCACCUUCUCACCCCUUGCCUUUUCCUGUAAGACCUAUUACAGUCGUUAAGAGUCGUCAGCAGGCUCAUCUCAGCUAUCUGCCAGUCUCCCCACAUUCCCACCACCCUUCUAGGUAAUACCCCUCCCACCUUCUCACUAUAUAGAAGGAUCUGGCAACUUCUGUUUCAGUGUAUCUGAAGAAGUGUGCUUGCACACGAAAGCUCAUACCAAGAACUAACUUAGUUGGUCUUAAAGGUGCUACUGGAAGGAUUUUUUUUAUUUUUAGUAUGGUCCCAUUAAGUUCAGUUUGACUUACUCCAUUGUGCAUAGGAUUGCAGUUUGGUCAUUCAAACUCUUACUAUGCUUAAUUUUGUAAAUCUCUAACACAGGUGCAGACAGAGAGAAAAGGCUCCAACUCCAGUGCCCAAGCCCUGCUGGAAGAGGUUACCUUACCAGGGCCCAAAGGCUGCUGGCUCAGUCUGCAACCCCAUUACUAUGGAGGAAAUAAGAUGAGGUUAAAUUAUAAAUCAGACUUGAGGAUAUUUAUAGAAAAUUGUUUCCCUGUAUUUGUUUGGAUCUUGUGAGAAUUGCUGGCAUCCAUCAGAAGAAGUAAUGGAGCAAAACAAGCAACAGUUGGAACAGUGAGUUGCUAGAACAGAAGGUGUGUCCUUGUGCAGUUAUUUUACUAUGACCCCAAGAUUUAAAAAAAUGCCAGUUCAGACACCACAACAGUCAUACCCAGAAACAAACAUGUCUUAUUUUCUCCUUAUUUUUUAUUGAAUUCUAUGGCCUAUUUUGUUGCCCAUUCACACAGUUAGGAUGAGAAAGCUUUAUGGUGCUAUUCACUGUCUGCUUGGAAUAUAAGCAUCCAGAAUAAUUAGGUGCCAUAUGCAAACCCAUAACUCCUAAUUAUGAAUAAAUAUUAUUAAAUUGUUAAAUUAUACCAAGACUCUGAACAGAAAGUGCCUCGAUGAAAAUUGUAUGCAGGGCGGGAUGAGGGGGACAGAGAGAUAGCAAUAUUUAAAUUUGGGGCAUUCAGGACACUGGUACCAAAAGCUGAAACUUAAGAGAUAGACAAAAUGUGCAUGGCUACUGAAGAUUAAUUUAACACUGUCUGAAGACUGAAAUCUGGCUAAACUAGGACAUAAAUGUAAAACAGAGUGUUGUUUUUGGCUCCUCUGUUUGCUCUUAAUAAUCCCAUUCUACUCACCCAAAGACUCAUCUAGACUUUGGUUUAUAUUCCCAAUGGUCUGACACUGACUGAAUUCACAUAGUAAGAGACUUACCUAGCCAUAAAUAUUUUAGCUGUUGUUCUGUUCAAUCUCAAACUAAAAUGACUUGGAAAGGUAGGAUUUGGAUAGGGAAAAGGUUGACAAGAAGUAGAGAAAGUGGCAAUGCUUCCUCGUUGGGUGGGCCUCUCCUUCUCAUGCAAUCCUUUCAUGCUAGAUAAGGGCUGCUGACUUUGGAUGAAAAACAGGGACAGGCCAGUUGCAUCUAUUAAAGAUUGUUAAGAUGGUCUCUUAGAUCAACUGAGGCUUAUUAAGUCUGGUAGCAUGGCCAGAACCACAGCUACAGCUAUUCUAUCUUGCUUUAAUUAAAAAAACAUAUGCAGUUUUUCACAUCAUCAUCAUUCAGGGUGGAUGUCCAAAAGUUUUCAAAUGAAGGUUUGGUUGGAAAAAAUAAAAAAAAAUUAUACAUGCUUUAAAAAUCAACUUGACCCAAAAUGUAUGAAUAGGUGAAUAGUGCAAAGGCAAACGUAGUUGCACACCACGCCUACCUCCAAGUAGUGUGAGAUUCCAGCGGUUCCAGGCACUUUUCCAGGGUUCGUGUUUCCUUUUGGGAAUGAGGCACAGUGGAGACUGCGGUGUCUUGACUCAAUGGUCAGCCAAGGUCACAGCUGGCUUCUGCUAUAUGAUCAUAAAUGAUGGUGAAGGGGGAGGAGUCCACAGACAGACUGACAAGAGAUAUGCAGAAGUUUGAGUUGUUAAAAGCAGGGCUUUUGUUCAGCCGGAACUCACUGUAACUCAGUUCUGGCCCCUCUCGGGUGGACACCAUUGCCAUUCUAUGAGAAGAAGGGAGGUGUUCAUGGUGAGUUCCGGCACCUCUUUUUCUAGAAAAAUAGCACUACAGUCAUACCUCGGGUUGAAUGUGCUUCAGGUUAAGUGCUUUCGGGUUGCGCUCCGUGGCAACCCAUAAGUAACGGAGCACGUUACUUCUGGGUUUCGCCGCUCACGCAUGCGCAGACGCUCAAAAUUACGUCACGCGCAUGCGCGGAAGCGGCAAAACACGACCCACGCAUACGCAGAUGCGCCGUCGUGUCUUAUGUUCCAUUCAGGAUGUGAAAGGGGCUCUGGAAUGGAUCCUGUUCACAUCCUGAGAUACCACUGUAAUUGAAAGUUACCAUGUUGCAGAAUGGUGCCUCAUUUUGAGAUUACCAACAUUACUAAUACCUUUGCCUUAAAAGAAAAAUAUAUCUUAUUAAAUCCUCUCAGUAUCCAUAAUAUUUUAGGCACAAAUAAAAGAGAAAGAAACCCAUAUUGUUGCUGGUGGCAACCUUCCAAAAUGGGUCAUCUUUUCAUAACCCGACAUGAAAUGCAAGCAUAUAAUAGUAUUUUGUUACAUAUUUUUCAGACAUAUGACUAAGGGUGGGGCUUCUAUUGAUUUAGCCUAUGGCUGGUAUUUCAUUAAGUAUUAUAACAGCAUAACAAGAUUCUCACGUUUAUUCAAAAUUAACCUGUGGCUAGCACCAAUUUAAUACAUUAUAAAAGCAAAAAAUAUUGUACCUGGAGAUAAAGCUUUAUUAUAUUUGUGAGCUAAAGCCCCUAUCAGAUUUUAAAUGACAAAUUCUGCAUAUUCUCAAUAAAAUAUCUAUUGCCUCCACCAAAUGCAUUUUUCACUUUGGCAAAACCUUUGUAUUUUUAGAUCAUCUUGACUGAAAUGGAAAACUAUGAUAUAGUCAAGAAGCAAGCAAUUCAUGUGAGGUCUUCUAGGUAAUUUUCCUGUGGUUUUCCUGUGAAUGUUACAAUAAAUCAUAGUUCUAAUAAAAAAGCAUUGAAUAUGCAUUUGCAGAUGGGAAAAAAGACUAUGCACAAUAGAACAAAUCUUUGUGUGUACUCAUGUGCUCUAUGUACAAGUUUGUAAGGAUAAAACAAGACUGUAUGUAACCUUUGGUAGUAAAAGCCAACCCUUAUGUGGUUCAAUAUCUCAAAGACCACCUUUGCCAAAUGAAUAAAUCUGGACAUUGAGGCAGAUUUAGGGGAGCACAACUGGUUCAGUUGCACUGGGCGCAGAGCCUCGAAGAUGAUGUACAACUGUGAUGUAGAAUGGAAGGCAAGAGGUGGGCACAUUGAAUUUUUGUGUCGCAUGGGGCACUACUGAAAUUUGAGACCCCAAGGUCUGCCACUGCUGACGUGGUGGAUGCUAGUGGUGCUGUGGUCUAAACCACCGGGCCUCUUGGGCUUGCUGAUCAGAAAGUUGGCAGUUCAAUGGGGUGAGCCCCAAUCAUUCUGUCCCAGCUUCUGCCAACCUAGAUAUUCGAAAGCACACCAGUGCAAGUAAAUAAAUAGGUACUGCUGUGGCAGGAAGUUAAACGGAAUUUUCGUGUGCUCUGGCUUCCAUUACAGUGUUCUGUUGCCCCAGAAGUGGUUUAGUCAUACUGGCCACAUAAUAAUAAUAAUAAUAAUAAUAAUAAUAAUAAUAAUAAUAAUUUAUUAUUUGUACCCCGCCCAUCUGGCUGAGUUUCCCCAGCCACUCUGGGCGGCUUCCAUAUAAACAAAAAAUACAGUAAAAUAUCACAGAUUAAAAGCUUCCCUGAACAGGGCUGCCUUAAGAUGCCUUCUAAAUGUCAGGUAGUUAUUUAUCGCUUUGACAUCUGAUGGGAGGGCGUUCCACAGGGCGGGCGCCACUACCGAGAAGGCCCUCUGCCUGGUUCCCUGUAGCUUUGCUUCUCGCAAUGAGGGAACCGCCAGAAGGCCCUCGGUGCUGGACCUCAGCGUACGGGCAGAACGAUGGGGGUGGAGACGCUCCUUCAGGUAUACUGGGCUGAGGCCGUUUAGGGCUUUAAAGGUCAACACCAACACUUUGAAUUGUGCUUGGAAACGUACUGGGAGCCAAUGUAGGUCUUUCAAGACCGGUGUUAUGUGGUCUCGGCGGCCGCCCCCAGUCACCAGUCUAGCUGCCGCAUUCUGGACUAGUUGUAGUUUCCGGGUCACCUUCAAAGGUAGCCCCACGUAGAGCGCAUUGCAGUAGUCCAAGCGGGAGAUAACUAGAGCAUGCACCACUCUGGCGAGACAGUCCGCGGGCAGGUAGGGUCUCAGCCUGCGUACCAGGUGGAGUUGGUAGACAGCUCCCCUGGAUACAGAAUUGACCUGCGCCUCCAUGGACAGCUGUGAGUCCAAAAUGACUCCCAGGCUGCGCACCUGGUCCUUCAGGGGCACAGUUACCCUAUUCAGGACCAGGGAGUCCUCCACACCAGCCCGCCCCCUGUCCCCCAAAAACAAUACUUCUGUCCUGUCAGGAUUCAACUUCAAUCCAUUAGCCGCCAUCCAUCCUCCAACCGCCUCCAGGCACUCACACAGGACCUUCACCUCCUUCACUGGUUCUGAUUUGAAAGAGAGGUAGAGCUGGGUAUCAUCUGCAUAUUGAUGGACACCCAGUCCAAAUCCCCUGAUGAUCUCUCCCAGCGGCUUCAUAUAGAUGUUAAAAAGCAUGGGGAGAGGACGGAACCCUGAGGCACCCCACAAGUGAGGGUCCAGAGGUCUGAACACUCAUCCGCCAACACCACUUUCUGAACACGGCCCAGGAGGAAGGAGCGAAACCACUGUAUAACAGUGCCCCCAGCUCCCAGCCCCUCUAGACGGUCCAGAAGGAUGUUAUGGUCGAUUGUAUCAAAGGCCGCUGAGAGAUCCAGCAGAACCAGGAAACAACUCUCACCUUUGUCCCUAGCUCGCCGGAGAUCAUCAACCAGCGCGACCAAGGCAGUUUCAGUCCCAUGGUGAGGCCUGAAUCCCGAUUGGAAGGGAUCCAAAUGGUCCGCAUCCUCCAGGCGUGCCUGGAGUUGUUCAGCAACCAUGCGCUCAAUCACCUUGCCCAAGAAUGGAAGAUUUGAGACUGGGCGAUAGUUGGCCAUACUGGCCGGGUCUAAAGAUGUUUUUUUAAGAAGCGGCUUAAUGACCGCCUCUUUCAGUGGAUCUGGGAAUGUUCCCUCACAGAGGGAAGCAUUCACCACCCCGCAGAGCCCAUCGCCCAGCCCUUCCCGGCUUGCUUUUAUUAGCCAGGAUGGGCAAGGAUCAAGGAGACAGGUGGUUGCUUUCACGCAUCCAAGCAGCCUGUCCACAUCCUCGGGGGUAACGGAUUGAAAUUGAUCCAUGCAACUUGACCAGACAGAGCUCUAGCACUCUCCUGCCCUGGCCCUGCUCCCACGGUGGUGUCUAGCUCCUUCCGAAUAUGAGUGAUUUUAUCUGCAAAAAACUUUGCAAAAUCGUUGCAGGAGAUCUUGGGGUCUUUACAAUGCCCCGGUGGUAAAGGUGGUUCCGUUAAAUUGCGAACCACCUGAAAGAGUCUCCUGCUACUAUUUUCUGCAGAUGCAAUAGAGGCGGUGAAGAAAGUCUUCUUCGCCGUCGCUAUCGCCACUUGGUAGGCUCGACGUUGAGCUCUAACCUGUGUCCGGUCAGAUUCGGAGUGAGUUUUCUGCCACCGACGCUCUAGCCGUCUCAGCGAUUGUUUCAUCACCCUCAGCUCCGAAGAAAACCACGGGGCUGUCCGGGCUCCAUGCAAUCGGAGAGGGCGCGUCGGAGCCAGACAGUCGAUAGCCCUGGUUAACUCCGCAUUCCAGCGGGCCACCAGGGAAUCAGCUGAAAGGCCAUCAACAUGGGCUAAAGCAUCCCCUACCACUCUCUGGAAACCAUUUGGAUCCAUUAAGUGGCGGGGGCGGACCAUCCGAAUUGGUCCCACCUCCCUGCAGAGGGGAAGGGUCGCAGAGAAGUCCAGUUGCACCAGGAAGUGAUCUGACCAUGGCACUUCUUUUGUUUCACUUUUACUUAGUGUCAGAUCACCCACAUCACUAGAGGUGAACACCAGGUCUAAGGCAUGUCCAUGACUAUGAGUUGGGCCAAACUUAUUCAGGGACAGCCCCAUGGAGGCCAUGCUUUCCACGAAGUCCCGAGCGGCCCCUUGUAAGGUCGUGUCGGCAUGGAUGUUAAAAUCCCCUAGGACAACCAAACUAGGUGUCUCCAGGAGAAAAUCCGCCACGACCUGAAGCAGCUCGGACAGGGAAUCCUUGGUGCAGUGGGGAGGUCGGUACACCAAAAGGAAUCCUGUACUGCCCCUAUUGCCCAACUUCCAGAACAUGCACUCAGAGAACUGGAUCUUCCCAGUAGGACGCCUGGUGCAAGCUAGUGACUUCCUAAAAAUCACUGCAACCCCCUCCCCGCCCACAUGACCUGGGUUGCUGUGCGUAAGAGAAACCUGGUGGGCAAGCAGCGGCAAGGACAGGCCCAUCUGCUUCCUCCAACCAGGUCUCCGUCACACAUGCCAGGUCAAAUCCUCCAUCCACAAUCAAGUCGUGGAUGGCAGUGGUUUUAUUCAUCAUUGACCUGGCAUUGCACAGCAACACUUUCAGGUCAUGUGGGUUUCCCUGUUGAUUCCAGUAUCCAUCCGGUCAAGGCCAGACCCGGAGGCAGGGAUAGUCUUCAAACAAUGACUAAACCUGCCUCCUCAGUAAUGACAUGGUCUGGUCUUAGCGUAACUCCGCCUCCUGCCCAUGAUCACCGAGAUCGGAUGUCACAGUGCUUCCCCCCCUGUGGAACUUGUCCCAGCCAUCGUGUUGGCUGGGGAGCCACUCCCAGGCAGCCCUGAUCCCGCCCCUUAAAAACAAAACACAAACAAUACAGAACCAAUAAAACAACAACAACAAAAAGGAACAGAACAAUUAUACUAAAAUUAAUCCCCAACCAACUAUCCAUCCCACCCACCCACCCCCAACAAAGGAAAAAAGGGAAAAAAGGAAUAAAAAUUGAAAUUGCCACCGACUGCAUGAGGACAUUUUAAGGCACAUUAACCGCCUGGAACAGGGAAGCAAUGGCAGAACACUUCCCACACUUCCCCAAAAGUUUGUUCCAAAUAAGGGCCUGGGCCACGCCCCCUGGGCCAGUUGGAAAAGGCCCUGGAAGGGAGCAGGCCCUGCAGUCCUCACCCAGCCGAUGGUCCGAGGCUUCCCGCAGCAGGAGUCCCUUUAUAGCUGGGAGAAAGGGCCUGGCCACGCCCCCUGGGCCAGUUGGAAAAGGCCCUGGAAGGGAGCAGGCCCUGCAGUCCUCACCCAGCCGAUGGUCCGAGGCCUCACCGCAGCAGGAGUCCCUUUGUAGCUGGGAGAAAGGGCCUGGCCACGCCCCCUGGGUCAGUUGGAAAAGGCCCUGGAAGGGAGCAGGCCCUGCAGUCCUCACCCAGCCGAUGGUCCCUUCAUGACCCAGAAGGCUCUCUGUGGACAAACGCUGGCUCCCCCGGCCUGAAAAGCAAGAUGAGCCCAUAGUUGCCUUUGACUGGACUUAACCAUCCAGUGGUCCUUUUACUUUACCUGCCACUGCUGGGCACUGUGUUCAUCAUCUGAAGCCCCUUCCAUGGGCUCUUUCCAUAUGAGCCAAUGCCUAGGGACCGUGGUGGCUUCGGCCCCAGCAAUAAAAUAUUUGAGAGGGCUAGGCCUCCACAAAGUUGAUGGGCAUUCCCAUUCAAAUGGUCUGUGUGCACUGCAUCAUGUGAUCGAUUAUGCGGGGUGGGGCUUACCUGGGGCCCUACAAUAUUUUAUUCAAGUUGGCACACUAAUGGAGGUGCAGUGAGUGGCGAACCAAGUCCACAAUGUGGAUGUGGACCCACAUCCAUGAUGUGGAUAAAAAUUGAAUUACUUGGGUCUGCCUGCCUUUGACCCUGCUCCAGCUACUGUUGGCCUCCCUGCUGCUGCCCUACCAGUCCCAAUAAACACUAGUCACCACAGCCUCAGCAUGUGAGAGCCACUCAUGGGGUGGGGGAAACUUAGUUGUCUUUUCUUCUAGAAAAUUGUGCCAAAAUGUCUGGCAAGGGGGAAAAAGGAUUAGUGAACAGAAAGCCAUGGGCUUUUUCUCAUUGUUUAAAUGGAACAUUUAUGAUAUUGGGUCAGCUGACUCUAUCCUUUUAAAUCUAUCCUUUUGCUCUCUGAUGUUUAUUACCCUAAUCCUCUAUCAGCUUUUUAUCUCCUGUUCUUUUCUAUUUGGGAUAAUUUCUGCAAUGAUCAUCUAAAUUUUACUUUAAUUUCAGUUCUAUUUUUUUAAAAAAAGAGCAAGACAAAUGCACUCUUCAGUGAGAUAAGUUCCCCCACCCCCAGUCCAUGUGAUCACUCAUUGCUAUAAGGUUUUAUGCUGGAAUGAAGGCCAAUUCUUCAAACAAUGAUUUUUUCCCUCCACCUACCUUGAGUUCUCAAAGAAAGCUUACUAUUCCAUAAAUUUACCUAAAUCCAUUAUUAAUAGCAAACAUCUGUUUAAAAAGUGAGUUAACAUCCUUUGAAAAGGUUUGGAGAUGCGUAUUGUUUAGCAUUACAUUAUGGGUUUAAAAUUAUACCAGAUGAAACCGCAUGAACUAAUUUUUAAAACUAUCUCUUAAUUUUUUUCUGUAUAAUGUGACCAAACUUUUUUUAAAGAUAAAAUAAAUUGCAAACAAAUGAUAUUUACUAAGCAAAUAAUAGUUACAAUAUUUUGAUGCAAUAUCUGUCCUGGUGCAUGCAAUAAUUAUUACCAUUAAUUAAAAACAUAUGUGGCAUAUAUGAGAUAUAGUGGACAUUCAUUAAAUCAGGCCCCUAUCGCAACAUGGAGCAAAAUUAUCAUACUGAAUGAAUAUAUCUGUAUUUUAAAAACCCACUUUUAUCUUAGUUGCUAAGAUGAAUCCAUCAGAAAUGCUUUGCUCUUUUAAUUUAGGAAUACUACAAGUGUGGCCUGCCACAGCAAUAGUAGAUAGGUACUCUCUCAGACCCAAUGCUUAUUGGAAGUGCAUUUUAGACAGGAAUGCACCUAGUCCAUUUGUACCUACCCACCCAGAUAAUGAUUCACUCUCUGGUUUCUACCAUCAGCUAUAGAACCUACUGGGAGGCUACACUCCUUGUAUCUAAGGAAGAAAAUCAUGGCAAGGAGCAGACAAAUCUGGUCCCAUCCAUCAGCCAUAUAAGGAACAGCUGAAGGGAGCAUGUUUCCCCUAUCCUUGCCAGCAAGAACACUUGACUCCAAUUGCCAAGUGCCCAUGGAGUGCAGAACUGAAGGGAAUCAUACUUUGCUCACCAAUCAACUAGGUUGGGAGUGGGAAACAUUUUGGAGGGCUGAAGGCCACAUUACUUCAGGAGAAAGUGGUUGGGGGGCACACUACUAUAGUGGACAAGGCAAAUAUGCUCAAGGCCAGAAAUUUAUAGAAUCUCACACUCACUACACAGAAAAUCUCACACACUUUAUAGACAUACACACACUUCACAUCAUCAGGCAAUGGUGUUUCCACCUGCCUUGGCCCACCCAGCUUUUCCCAGUCUAUGACUUUAAGAACAGCAGCAGUAGCUGGGAAGAGUUCAGGGAUAUAUAUAUAUAUAUAUAUAUAUAUAUAUAUAUAUAUAUAUAUGUUUUAUAAGUUGUGUGUUUUUGUUUCUCAGUUUGACCCUUUUACAUGGUUUUGUAUGUGUUGUGGUAUUUUGUGCACUGUGAUUUGCUGCUAUUUUUUAUUGAGUAUAGAUUGGUAAUUCUUUAUUGUGGUUGAUAAGUGUGAACUGUUUAAUUAUUUGCUGUUUAAUUUUAAUGUUUACUAUUAUAUUCCGAUGUAUUGUUGAAUGUUGCUUUGUUUGACAUAAGUUGUUUAUUUUUAAGUUACUGUGACUUUUAUACAGUAUUGGAUCAGAUUGUUACUAUUAAUGUUUGAUGUUUUAUUAUGUUUUAAUGUGUUGGAAGCUGCCCAGAGUGGCUUGGGCAACCCAGCCAGAAGGGAGGGGUAUAAAUAAAAAAAUCUUCCUCUUCUUCUUCUUCUUCUUCUUCUUCUUCUUCUUCUUCUUCUUCUUCUCAUCAUACACACAAUCACAAAUAUACACAUGCAUGUUAACUCUUAUCAAACAUACACACCACACAAGCAUACAGAGGAUGCUUUUGAGGGGAAAUCAAUAAAUAAGAUUUUAGAAAACCUACAGAGGAUGCUUCCAGAUUCACUAUUUUAGGUGGGAUUCAGUCAUAUUCCAGCAAAUUAAGUUGCACAAUUGAAGCUGAUAGUUCUUGGGCAACAAAACCAUUCCCUGACCCCAAACUGGAUGUUUUGUUAUAAGGAAAAUGAUGAGGACAUGCGCUGGAAAGUGUGGGACAGUAUUUGUUGGAAGCAACCUUUCUUCCUGCGUACAAAUAAGGAGAAUGGUCAUCAAAUAGCUGAUGCUGUCUGCUGAAUCAAGAGGCUACUGUAUCAGACACAGAUACACAUUGGUGACUGUCAUUCUAAUCAGUUGUCAGUCACACAGUUGUCAGGAAUGCUGUGGUGUUGGUAUGCUGACUUGCUUCCACUGUACUUGAUUCAGCCUGAGGCAAGAAGUACGGUAUAUAGGAUCAAGACUAUUAUAUUCUGGCAUAGUGGUCUGUAAAAUAAUCGGGAAAAUAUAACCUCAUCUAUAUGAAGUUUUUAAAAAAGGAGAGCUGGGUUAUUUUAAUUUAGAAAUAAAUAAAAUGACUAAGAUGGGGAUAUGAUAAAUGUUCUUGCACAGCUUCUAUUCAUUACAAUGAGGCUUACACUGAUGGAUUGUGCCCCAUGUCAUUAACAAUUUAUACGGUAAGCAGUCACUUGUAGUAGAAUGGAACAGAGGAGUCAGAAGCUGUAUUUAUAUAAUAUAGUGGAAACUCUUUUAUUAAUAGAGCUCCCUUUGCCAAAUGGAAACUCCUCUUUUGAAAGCUGUUUACAAUCUUUUCCAAAGCUACUUAAUGCUGCUUUUUUAUCAUGGCUAGAAUUACACAGCUUUUGCUAAAUGGAAAGUCUGGUUUUAAACAUCUUCCAUUUUGUUUGGUAGAAUGUCUCAUGUAUAAUCCAACAGCUUCUGCUCAAUGAAGUGUCUUUAGACCUAAUGCCUGUGGCCUUUACCACAAUAGAUCUAGACAGAUGGAUAGGCAGACCAGCAGAUGACAGAUAAAUGAUGGAUAGAUACCCAUACAGAAAGACACACAAAUGAUCCAAUGCACAUAAACAGCAGCAAAAGCGUACUACAUUAGCCUUUGCUUUUGUUCUGACAAUCGCUUCUAAACUUAUAUUGCAUAAGGAGAAGAUGGUGUUAACUAUAUUAUUAUUAUUAUUAUUAUUAUUAUUAUUAUUAUUGCCUCAAUCCUAGUAUCAAAUUAUCAGUGAUAAUGAAGAGGAACAGCUGAUGCCCAAGUGCUGGAACAUUUGAAAUAGCCACAUAAUAAUUCUGCUAUCAGGCUAUUUUGAGACCUGUCCCUUUUGAGCCAUUUUCCACCAAGCGGGACUGAAAUACUUUUUGUAUAAACAGUCAAGCUAGACUCUUUACAGUGAUCCUGUCUCUCUAGUAGUGUUUGAUGGGAGGUAUAGGCAAAGAGGUUGAUCACCAAUGUGAUGCCCCCCAUAUGUUGUUGGAAUCCAAUUAUUAUUUUAAUUAAAUAAUAAUAAUAAUAAUACACAAUAAUGUCCUGAGUUCAACCAUAGAAUACCUUCUCUUAGUGCCCCCACAAGCUCUAUAGUAGAAAUACCAGAGAAACAGUCUUCUCGGUGGUGGCCCCUUGUUUUUGAAUUGUGUUGCCUAAGGGAGUGCUUCAACACUAGGCAUUCCCUUUUUUCUCCUCCCAGGCUUUUAAAUUUGCUGUUUUAAAUUAAUUGUUUCUGUAGUUUUUAAUGUGUUUUUUCUUCUGUGGCUAUGUAAGGUUGUCUUUACUAUUUGACUUGGUUUUUAGCUUCUUUCUGUAAUCAUUUGAACCUGCUUUCAUACUUGCUAAUGUGGGUUUUUGUUUCCUCACUCUCAUUUUCUUUCCUCUCCUGUUUUUAUGAUGCCUGUAGAGUAAUUGGGCAUGUAGCAAAUUUAGUUAAUAAAGAAAAAUACAUUACAAUGGAACUCUGUGCUUGGAGUUCCCAGCAUAAUUGUCUUUUUAUAAAAAAUAACUGUGAGGACAUGUGGAGUAUAUGUGUAUAGGCCCACUAUUUCUACUGCUCCGGUACCAGACCUUCUAAGUGUUCCAAUUUUCCAGGGAUGUCCCUGAUUUAGAGAAGCUGUCCCAAUUUCUGAUUUGAUCCCGGAAUGUCCCGCUUUUCCUUAGGAUGGCCUUAUUUUCACUGGAAAAAUGUUGGAGGGUAUGAAGUACAUGUCAUAAAACUGAAUGCGUCCAGCUUUAGUUCUGAUUUAGAUGCUCCCACAGCAGAACAAAUAAAGGAAAGAACAGUAUUGAUUUACAAGUAUGGAAUGUGUGUUGCCUAGAGGUAAUUCUGCUAAUGGUGAAGGAAGCUCUGAAAUUAUUCAAGAGACAGUGUCAAUUAUCAGGCUUUGGAAGGGGCAACACACCAUUGCCAACAACUGAGAAAAUGAUGGGAGGAAAAAAAUAUUAGGAUUGUGUCCUGGUUUCCAAAGAUAGUAAAUGAACAAAUUCGGAAAAAAAUGUUGACUUUAGCUCCAUUUGGCCCUGCCUCACAUAUUGCUUCUUAUGCUUCUUCAAUAUGCAGCUUGGUUAAUUGGUAAUAAGAUUAUUUUAAUUAAGGAAGAGUACUCGUGUGUGUGUGUCAUUAUUCACCCUUCACCAGAAGGUCGCAAAUGAGAGUUGCAGUGUCAGAAGCAGGUUUAAAAGCCAGAGUUAAUAUUUAGUGUAAAUCAUCCUUGCUUUCCCAUUCCUGCUGCCCUGAAAACUCAUUUAGGUAAGUUGGAAGAAUUAGGGUGGCGAGAGAUGGUUGUAUGGUGAUUCAGGACCUAGCACUACCCAGAGGGAUUUUUGUCUAUUUUGGUUUGGAGUGGAUUUAGUGACGCGUGCGCGCACACACACACACACCCAUGAGUCUAAAUGGCACCAAAUACAUAGUUCCUUCAAUUGCCACCAGAACCUAGGUGUGUUCCCCCCUGUUGGAUUACAACAGCAAUGUAUGGAAGUGAGAGCUGGACCAUAAAGAAGGCUGAUUGCCAAAGAAUUGAUGCUUUUGAAUUAAGGAGCUGGAGGAGACUCUUGAGAGUCCCAUGGACUGCAAGAAGAUCAAACCUAUCCAUUCUGAAGGAAAUCAGCCCUGAGUGCUGACUGGAAGGACAGAUCCUGAAGCUGAGGCUCCAAUACUUUGGCCACCUCAUGAGAAGAGAAGACUCCCUGGAAAAGACCCUGGUGUUGGGAACGAUGGAGGGCACAAGGAGAAGGGGACGACAGAGGACGAGAUGGUUGGACAGUGUUCUCGAAGCUACCAGCAUGAAUUUGACCAAACUGCAGGAGGCAGUGGAAGACAGGAGUGCCUGGCGUGCUCUGGUCCAUGGGGUCACGAAGAGUCGGACACGACUAAACGACUAAACAACAACAAUGGUGCAAUGUGCAAAAAUUUAUUUUGCCCUACUAGUACAGUGUAUAGUAAUAUUUAGUAGACAGAUAGGUGCUUGGAAUUCAAAGGCAAUCAACCAUUCAAAUAGCAGGCAAAAACAGACAUAUGCAUCCCAUUCUAUACUGAUUUCCCUUGGCUUCCUGACUGGUGCAGCAGUCUCAGUUGAUGUUUGCAGAGAGUUGAUCUCUGGAUCGUCUCUUUUCAUACCUGCAGCAGCAUCCAAUUGACUGACCAUGUGUGUAGCAGGAGUUCUGCAUGCAGAACGUCUCUGUUGUGAAAUGUGAGCUGAUUGUGGAGUCUUGACCACACAAAGAUCAGUCAUUCAUUUAUUAAUGACAAAUCAAGUGUUUAUAAAGCCCACUUUAACAUAUAUCGGUUGUAUUUAAAUCAAUCUAGUUAAUUCUUCUGAAGAAGAUAAGGCCACAGUCAUUGGAGGAAUGCAUAUAACUGUUUAGUCCUAGUCUGUGUGUUUACUGGUUUAUGGGAAACCUUAGCUACGCACAAACAUAGCAGUCUUUAAUGUUAGGAAGGAAUAUAUUUAGCCAUUUUAGCAAGGAACUGUUGUUUUAAUGCUUUUGUGUACAAGUUGUUGUUUGAUUUGCAUCUGGUCCAGCAACCCCUAAUUCGGUUAAUUCUCAAGUAAAGCUUUUAUCUGGUCUUCUAAAAAUACUCUGACUGCUUUCAAAGAAAGAGGAACAAAAGUACUCCCUUUAAAUUCCAGGCAGUAUUCAUCAGGAUGUAAGAAGAGCAAAACCAAGUCCUGUUUGAGGCACAGAACUUUGAUGUCUGCAAGAGAUUUCCUGCAAAUCAGACUACCAUGGCCAAGUGUCAUUUUUAGUCCACCUUCUCAGAAAUAAUUGAACUUAGAUGAGGAGGAAUUUCUCCUUUAUUCUCUUGCCUGAGUGCUUUGAUGAGCCAGCUGUCUGAACAUCCUCACAGACCAAACUCACCAUACUGAUGGACAGGCAUUUAUUUUAUGAAGACUUUCAGCUAAGCUGCAAAAUGAGGAAAUUAUAUUUGAAGAGGAACACUGAAGUUGGUGCUUUUUUUGUCUCAAAUUAGGAUAUGGAUGAUGAGGGGGGAUGAUAGAGGUGGUGAUGGUGAGCUUUUGUAGCUCACUUCCAACAAGCUAACACAUUUUACAGAACAAAUACACUGUUAGCAGUCUGGGAAGGAAUUAUACACUAACUAUAGAUUCCUAAAAGUGCAUUGAAAGCAUUGGUAUUUCAAGUGCUUUUUUAGAAACGGCAAGGGGGGAGGGGAGAGAUAAAUAUCUGAAGAGAGCAAUUUCUAUGCUGUACGACCCACCACUACAAAUGAAUAAUCAUUUGUCAAAUUUAAGUUCAAUGGGGAAGUCUCCAAACAACAGGUGGGAUCUGAGUGCAGAUAGAUCCCCGGGUGAGAUUCCAGAAGUUCUCAAAUAUAUCCAUGCUUGUUCAGGUUCUUAAAAAUUAACAGCAUAAAGCUAAUGAAAACUAUGAACCCUGGUUGCAUAUGAUCAUCCUUCCAGGUAAACAUGUAUCUAAGGAACUUCAACAGUCAACUCUAGUCCCAAAUCUCUGCUUUUUCCAUUUGCAACCACUCAUGCAUUUAUCUUCACACUGGGAAGCUAAAUCAAAAAGGCAGUCUUGGAUAUAUGAAUUAAGACUUGUGCAACCUGUGCAUCCUUCCCUUGUAGGUAUUCAACAAUUCGUACAAUUUAAUCAUUGUAUCGCAAAUGUGACCAUGUGAGUCAUGGGUGCCCAUCAAGUUUGGGUGGAAACAGAAGCAGGUCAUCCAAAAAAGAUGUAAAGCAAAGAAACAAGGGAUAAUGAGACAGCAAGGUUGAUGGAUGCACAAUAAAGCAUGACUGUGAGCUGGGGCAGAAGUGAGAAUAUACAAGGCAAAAACUGAACAUGAAAACACAAUGAAAGAGAAGGCUGAAUAACUGUAUGUGCACACAAGCUGAUUUGAAAACAACAAAACAUUGACUUGGAUCCAGUACCAUGAGAACAAGGACCAGCUCAGUCAGUCCUACCAUUAGGCAGUGUGAGACUGUUCCUCCUGAACCCCUUGGCUGUACCCUUUUGCUGAAUGACGGAACUGUGUGUGCCCUAUGGCUGGUUCUGCACCCCCAUACCUAGCCUGACACUGUGGAUGACACUAUCCAAUUAUCAGUACUAGAGGAAGAUUCAACUGUUAGUCCAGUUAGCUUCUGUACAUGGAAUAGGAGGGCACCAUUUUGUCCUCCAUCUCAGUCAGCAAGAUGUCUUGGGCUGGCUUUGAUGACUAGCAAACUGGGAAAAUGCCAUCUUUAAAGAAGUUAUAUCAGAUGGAUCUCAUCAUGACAUGCAUCUACAAGAUAAUGUGCUUGUACGCACAUGACUCUAAAAGGCAGAAUUUAUCAGUCUGAUAUUGGUCUCCUCACUCCAAGAGCAGAGGCCUAUCGGUUUCAGUUUCUUGGCUAGCUUCCUUGUAAUAAAUAUAGGCUUGGUGUAUAAUAAAAACCAGAUGAGUAGCUCUCAAGCUACAGAUGUCUUCUUUUUCUUGUGAUUCCAGCUAAGAUUGUUCUUACUCUUCAUAAUCUCCCACAGCUGCCAAAAAUCCAUCUUAUCUUUGCAUGAGGUGAAAUUUCCAUUAGCAGCUAUUAUGGUAGCAGGGGUCAGACAUCCAGUGUCAGAUGAGCUGCUAAAAAGAAAAUGUAGGCAAUGAAAGAACAUUUGAGCUGAAAUGGAAUAUACAUUUUAAAAAAAGGAAAUCCACACAAAAUUAUUAAACCAAAUUAACAUGCAUACAAUAAUGUAUUGACAAUGUUGCUGACUCCACUGAAGGGGGGAAAAGGUAUAUCCACAAAAUGGAAUAAGAUUUCAAUGGUUAAAAAAAUAAUAAUGGAAGGUCCAUAGCUCAGUGGUAGAGCACAUAGUUUGCAGAAGGUCUAACAUUUAAUCCUUUGCAUCUUCAGAGAGGAUUGGACUAGGAAAUAAGCUCUUGCCUGAAAAACCUCUGAUAGCUGCUUCCAGUCAACACAGACAAUGCUAAGCUACACAGGCCAAUAACAUAAAGCUGAAGAGCAUAACGUGUUCCUAUUAUGUUCCACUUUCAAUAUGUAAAAGGAGCUAUCUUUUGAAAUUUGCACUUCUCUGAAUUUUAUGCUCUAUUUUUCCAAAUAAUGUACACAAACAGGUGUAUAUUAAGAGAAUAUAUGUGUGUAAAAUGCAUAGAGAAGAUACCAUAAAAGACAUUAUAACAGGCAUGAUAGCAUGCAAAUAUGUGUACAUUAAGAUAAAUUUACACAACAAUUCGUGGACUUUUUUAUAAAAAAUAAAAUAAAAAUCACAAGCUGUUGCAGAAAUGUGGAGAACUGACCUUAAGAUUGGCAAAAUGACAAACCCAAGAGAAACAAAAAUUGACAAAUUUGACCAUCCCUAAUAUCCAGCAGGUGUUUCAUUUUCUUUUCUGCAGAAAAUAUCCAGUGUCAGCAUUGCAAAGCAUUAAAUAGCUGACAUGUCAAAAAGUAUGAAAGAGAUUUUCAAAGGAACAAGAAAUGGACAGCAAUCCAUCUGCGAGACUUUUCCUUGACUUCGUUGGUUAUGAAUGACAUAACGUUGCUAUGCCAGCAGUGCAGUGUACGUUUUCCCCCCUCAGUCACUGUAUCUUCAGCAAAUGAUAAGUGUGAAGUGGAUCCCAGUUCCAUGAAUGUAGUUUGUGGCUUGCAUUUAACUAGUAAAAUAUCCCAAACAGAACUUUUUGAUCUUUCAGUUACAACUAGAGACAUUUUCAGGAAACUAUCGCUUUACGUGUUCUCAUAAACUAGAAAAAUGUCUGUUUUUGUUUCAUUCUUGCAGUGAAAGACGACCAAUAGUUACUCAUUGGUUUCCUCGUGUACAUUUAUUGGGCUGAUAAAGACUGCAAGAUGUAGUGAAAGAAACUCUUGGUUUAUUUUACUUUGGCAAUAAUAAGAGCAUGUAGCCAAUUUUAAAAGCCUAAAUAAAGCCAGAAGAAAAUAAUUGGUAUAUCCUGAUAUAACCAGUACACACAGAGAGACAGACAUGCGCACACACACACACACUCCACUCAUUCUUUUACAGGUACCUUCCAGAAAUACAGCCAAUCUUUUUUUUUACUAGCCAACUGUUUUUAAUUCUUUGCCUCUUAUUUUUAGGGUUAUUACAACAAAAAUUUCAUUGGAACCAUAGGAGCUUUGGUAAUGGAAGUGAAGAAAUAACUUAUAUGGUACCACAAAGAUACAAAUUUUUAAAAAGAACCAUUGACCAACAAUGCGCCCAACUCAGAUAUCAUGUUCCCUUCAUAAUUCAAGGAAUAUGCCUUAGAGAGUAGCCAGUGGUGAGGCAUGGGUCUUGUUUAAGCAGUGGCUCUGCUCAAAUUUAAAUGUGCCUGCUAGUGCUACACUCUUACAGUCAACUAAAAAGAAGCUUCAUAUCUAACCACAGAAAUCUGCUCCACCUCCACUAUUCAUUUUUCCAUUCUGUAACAGUCCACAGGGCACAUGAAAAGUACUUGAUGCUUUUUCAAAUUACUAGCUAUAAAUUUUAUUUUAAAAAAUAUGAACAGAUUUCAGUCCAGCCUGCAGAGUUGAAGUGAAGGUCAUUACAUGCCAGCAGUCUAAGAAUGGCUGUAAUUAUACCUUUUUAUACUAUUUUUCUGGUGCUAUAUAGAACGCAUCAUAAAAACACAGGAAACAUUAAUCUACAGAUUACUGUUAUAAGCAGAAAAUGUCUCCCCCCAAUUAAAAAUAGCCUUAACCUUUUACCAUUUUUAUUUAAAAUAAAAACAAAAACACUUUUCCCUUUAGAAGCAUGCGUAUUUCCUUUAAAUACCCAUUACCUAAAUGAGUGGGAGCCAAAAAUCACUUAAAAUACCAUGCAUAGGCAUGUAUUGAUUUAGUUACAUUGAUUUCCAUGGUACUAAGUUGACUCAGUUGCACAAGUUUAAAUUGGGUAUCAAUGCAAAUUAAUUUUCUGUCUUACGUUUUUUCCAAUUAUUGGAUUGUAAUAGCAUUGAUUGCCAUCAAAUUAAAAAUGAAAUUACAGAGCUGAAAAUGAUGCCCAACCUGGAUGUCUAUCAUAGCCUACGGGUGCUUUAGUAAAGCACACACAGGAAGAACAUAAGGAACUGCCUUAAACUGAACGGUCCCUCUAGCUGUGUAUUGUCUAUAUUGGCUUGUUCACCAAGAGAUGCCAGGCAUUGAACUUGGAAGGAUGAGCUAUACAGCUGAGCUAUGGGUACUUAGAUCUCAUUUGCUGGAUAGGGACAAGUGAAUCUAAUCCACUUGUAUUGACCAGAAGCUUCACUUUGGCUUCAUAGUACAUGCAACUUGUCAGAUUCAUUUCAGUGGAAGGAACAGGUAAAACCACCAGCCACAACAGCAUACCAGUAGUGGCAGGGGGGUCCUCCCAUUAUGUACUGGGAGGUGACAGUGGCAGUGGUACGACUGCAGGGUUGAUGAGUGGAUGCCCUGAUUAUAUCAGUAGUCUACACAACCACCAGCUUCACACCUCCGCUGAUGCCUCUCAGCACCACAAGAUAUUUCUACUGCCAUGCUGGGCAGCUUCCACUUUUGCCCAAUGAACCACCCCAUUAGCUAGCACUCAUCUCUGCAUGUAACAUAGGUCAGCAUGAGGGUUUACUAGGUUCCUUCAGACAAUGUAAACAGGAACAGAAAUCCAAGCUUUGAAAAAAAGCACGACUGGCUUUUACUAAAUACAAUGCAAAGCAAAUGCCCACAAUGUUUCAAUACUAAAAUUCAAAGCAACUGCCCACGGGACGUCAACCACAACAGGGGAUAAUAAUUACCAAUCAGAGAUGGUUCACUGAAAGCAAAUGGUGGAUGACCAGUCCUCUGAUCUUCAGGCAGAAGUGGGUUCUGGACCUUCUCCUGUCAGUUCAGGACAAGGCGUCAUCUAUGGAACAGGCAGGCCACCCUGCAUUAUGUCACCCACUGAGUUCUACUUCAAAGUCUCUUCUUCAGUUGACACAACUUGAACUAAUUGCAUCCUAUAUUCUCGUUUGCUUACCUUCUGGUUUUUUUUUUUCUCUUGCCUUUUUAUAACAUUUGUUUUCUCCUUAUGCUAGAAUCUUCCAUCCCCUGUGCUUGCAAAAACUGGCUGAAGACCUCAUGGCACACUUGCAUCAUUAUUAUUUUUUUUUAAAUGAUAUUUAUUAAAGUUUCCAAUAAAAAAAAGACACAUCAGUAAAAAAGAGUUAAAAGUAAAAAAGAAAAAUACACAGUGCAAAAAUACACAAUACACAAUACACAAUACAAAAAAGAAAAAAGAAAACAGUUAAAAACAAUACCACCUUUUCAUCACCACUUUUAAAUUUACUUAUUUUCUGGACCUUCUCAUACCUCCCUCUUUUGUAUUCCAAUUCAAUUUGUUUGUCCAGCAAUUUCUUUCCCUCUUUUUUAAUCCCAAUCCUUAAUCUUAAUAUAGUAUAACAUUAAAUUUUAACCUAUUAAAAGCCAAUUUUCCAUUUCUUUUAACUUUUUAAAUCCUAAUCCUUAAUCUUGAUCUAUAUAUAACUUUAAAGCCUGUACGGCUAGAAGCCACUUAAUUUCAAUCCAACAUCACUCUAACAUUCUUUAAUUUUGCAAUGUUUCUGCAGAUAAUCUUUGAAUUUCUUCCAAUCUUCUUCCACUGACUCUUCUCCCUGGUCACGGAUUCUACCAGUCAUUUCCGCCAGUUCCAUAUAGUCCAUCAGUUUCAUCUGCCAUUCCUCCAGUGUGGGUAGCUCUUGUGUCUUCUAAUACUUUGCGAUGAGUAUUCUUGCUGCUGUUGUUGCGUACAUAAAGAAAGUUCUAUCCUUUUUUAACACCGAUUGGCCGACUAUGCCCAGGAGAAAGGCCUCUGGUUUCUUCAAGAAGGUAUAUUUAAAUACCUUUUUUAGUUCAUUAUAUAUCAUUUCCCAGAAAGCCUUAAUCUUUGGGCACGUCCACCAAAGGUGAAAAAAUGUGCCCUCAGUUUCUUUACAUUUCCAACAUUUAUUAUCGGGCAAAUGAUAGAUUUUUGCAAGCUUGACUGGGGUUAUGUACCACCUGUAUAUCAUUUUCAUAAUAUUCUCUCUUAAGGCAUUACAUGCCGUAAAUUUCAUACCUGUGGUCCAUAACUGCUCCCAGUCAGCGAACAUAAUGUUGUGUCCAACGUCUUGUGCCCAUUUAAUCAUAACAGAUUUCACCGUUUCAUCCUGAGUGUUCCAUUUCAACAGCAAGUUAUACAUCUUUGACAAAUUCUUAGUUUUGGGUUCUAGCAGUUCAGUUUCUAGUUUUGAUUUUUCCACCUGGAAGCCAAUUUUCUUGUCCAAAUUAAAUGCCUCCAUUAUCUGAAAAUAAUGAAGCCAGUCUCGCACUUUGUUUUUUAAUUUUUCAAAACUCUGCAAUUUCAGUCUAUCUCCAUCUUGUUCUAAAAUUUCCCAAUAUUUCGGCCAUUUGACCUCCAUAUUGAGUUUUUCCAAGGCAUAUUUCUUCACCUGUUAUCUAUGUGGUGUGAUAACUGCAUAAAUGGUCUCUGUAAGCAUACAGGUGAAGGAGGAAGCAUUCCUAACUUGUAAACUAAAGCCAUUGUCUUUCAGCUGUUUUCUAGUACCUCUGAUCAUCCAGACUGAAUAUCCCCUAUUUGUUCUUUUCUCCUCUCUCUCACACACAUCAUGCUUCCCUUUCUGCUUUUUCCAAAUCGUGCCAUCUCUGCAUGGCCUUCCUUGAUUUAGUUCAAACAUCAGCUUGACAUCUUUGCAGUCCAGACAUACCUUUGCAUAGUCCACCUGUCUUUAAAUUGUGGUUAACAGCAUAAAGCUCCACACAGACUGAGAACCAAAGUUUUGCCCAUGUCAGGCUAGUUUUGCUCAUACCAAAAGUGUUGUUCAUGCCAAGCCAGGUUGGCCAGGCCAGCUUAACCAAGCAUUCAUAUGCAUCUCUACUUCCUCCAUUGAAAUGAAUAGAAAAGAAUCACUAGCAAAUAGAAUUCAAGUUCUGCAUUCAAACCCAUUCAUCCACAAGGAAUCAUUAAACUUAAGUAUCUGGCUGUAAGACAAUAGGCCCACUUUUGAGCAAGAACUGAAAGAAAUAAAGCCAGAAAUAAGAAGGUUUACCUGACAACAUCAAGACUACAUUCAAUAGAUUGGUUUUUAAAGAAUUGGCUUAUGAUUACUAGACAGCACUCAAGAGUUCUGGGCUGGAGCAGACUGUAUGUAAUUUAUAGUAUUAUUUAUCCAGUAUCUCUUUUAUCAACCUAUGUGGUCCAUCUUGAAAUAAUUGUUUUUCUCUGUGAAUGCAUCUUCAUUUUAUCUCCAUCUGUUUUUCAGAUCAAUGAUUUUUUUUUCAUGAAAAAGGGAUUGUUCUGGUUUUGUCUAUUUAUUACACACACACACACACACACACACACACGACCAUUGAAUGCAUACUGCUGUUUAUGGCAGAAUGUCUAUUAAUUAAAGGUUCAAAAAUGCCUUUAAUUGUGAAAGAAAUCUAUUGGCCUUCAGGUAUAUAGUAUUAAAUUGUCUUCUUUACCAAUUGGGAUAACUUAAUAAAUUAAUAGUGAAGAUAUCUGUAUUGGGAUAUAUGAAAAGUCAUCUUCAUUUUUUCAAAUGCAAGUAACAAAAGAUGGAAUAAUAAAUAACUAUUACCAUAUUUUAUAUGAAUAAAGCACCUUCUUGUGAACUAGUUCUCUCAAAACACUUCACACGGCAUGUCCCCUUUUCUUGACUGGGCAGCAGUUGCUCAUUCUACAAAAGAACCUGAAACAAAUAAAAACACACUGAGUACAAUUUUACUCAAGUCAUAUUUGUUGUCACAGAUCAAACUAUAUGGAAAAUAGACACAAAUCAUGUACCAAAUAAAGAAUCUUUAAGAGCAAAAUGGAACAACAACAACAACAAAAUGCAUACCUUUGCCCCAUAAGGUUAAACAAUAAUGUUGAACACUCCCCAUUGUCUUUUUCUUUGACUAGUGCUUACUUACACACCUGGCCCCUACUCUUACCUGGGAGCUUAGGGGAGUCACCUUCUCUAAGGUCUGAUGGCUCUCCUGUUUCAAACACUAGAGACAAAUCUCCAGCUGUAUUUACUUACCAUUAGUUCCUACUGAGGAAAUCAAUCACCCAUGUCUAUUAACAAGACAUUUUCCUAUUGAAGGAAGGUCAGCUUGUUAUAACAUCAUACAACCUUAGGAAAGGAACCAUAGCUCAGCCACAGAGAAGAUGCUUUGCAUGCACAAGGUCCCAGGCUCAAUCUCCAAUAUCUACGUGUACGGCUGAGAGACACCUGUCUGAAACCCAUGACAGCCACUGAUGGGCAGUGUAGACCAAAGUGAGCUAGAUCUGACUCAGUAUAAGGGAGUUUCCUAUAUUCCUAUAGUAGGUAAUUCCUAGAAGUAAAUGUGAUUGUAUAUACUGGGGGAAAAUAAUCACACAUAAUUAUAAUUAAUCCAGCCUGCAACAGUAUUAUUACUCAGUAACCCACUGACCUAGUUUCAGUGCAACAGAGUUCACAUCAUCUACUGAAGCAGACUUGUAAUGAAGUUUAAAGAUACGUGAAAGAAAUUAUCUGACCUACAGUGCCAGACUGAGCAGUACUAAUCUGCCAUGAGUUAUAGCUAUUUUGUCAAUCACAAAGGAUUAAACAGAUGCAGAAUGAUAGUAUUUUAGUGCUUCCUCGGAUUCCGUAAUCAGGUUUCAGCCAUUAGUGUUCAGUCACUUGCCCUUCCUGUUUCAUGUGGUAAAGAGGGAGGGGGAGGGGAGGGGGCGAGAGAGAGAGAGAGAGAGAGAGAGAGAGAGAGAGAGAGAAUAUAUGGACUGAUUGUCAGGUACAGCACCCCCAAAAAUUCUCGUGACAAAAUAUAUACUUUUUUUAACCAAUUCAAAAUGUCAUAUAUUCUUGCCAGCUCUCCCUGUAUUUAUACAAAGGAUGCAGCCAUCUACAUGCCAAGUACAAUGAAUGCACAUUAUAAUAAAGAACACAAUGGGAAAGCCAUUGUUCUGUUCUGCUGAAGGACAAUGUUACCAGUAUGACUGAAAUGCUCUAAAAUCACCCAUUCUAAAUAUCUGCAUGUAUUUGCCUUGCAGGAGGAAGCCAAAUCUCUCCUCCCCAACCUCGCCCCAUUUAAGAGACGGUGAAAGAUUGAUUCUGACUUUGUAAAUGUUGUUCAUGACUGGGUGAUUCAGCCCAUUUUUCUGGAAAACAAUCCUAAGUUCUCAUCCAGAAACUAUUCACAAUUUAUUAAUAUGUUUAUUCAAAGGCAUUUAUAGCCCACCAUUCACCAUUCAGUCCCAGAACAGGCUACAUACAGCUCAAUACAAUUAAACACAAAAACAUUAAAUGGGAAGGAUUUUCAGAGCUCCUUGUUGAUGUCACACAUCAGUGCUCAGUGGCUGAAGAAUGGAACAAGUAAUUGGCAGAGCUAUUGGUGCCUUCUUUGAGGACUUAUUAAGAUGGUACAACGAGAGGCAGUCGGAUCCUUUGGCUUUUAUUUUAUUUUUUUUUAUUAUUAUUAUUAUUAUUAUUAAUAUUAUUAUUAUUAUUAUUCAAUGACAAACCUAGACAGCAUCUUAAAAAGCAGAGACAUCACCUUGCCAACAAAGGUCUGUAUAGUUAAAGCUAUGGUUUUCCCAGUAGUGAUGUAUGUAAGUGAGAGCUGGACCAUAAAGAAGGCUGAUUGCCAAAGAAUUGAUGCUUUUGAAUUAUGGUGCUGGAGGAGACUCUUGAGAGUCCCAUGGACUGCAAGAAGAUCAAACCUCUCCAUUCUUAAGGAAAUCAGCCCUGAGUGCUCACUGGAAGGACAGAUUGUGAAGCCGAGGCUCCAAUACUUUGGCCACCUCAUGAGAAGAGAAGACUCCCUGGAAAAGACCCUGAUGUUGGGAAAGAUUGAGGGCACAAGGAGAAGGGGAUAACAGAGAACGAGAUGGUUGGACAGUGUUCUUGAAGCUAUCAGCAUGAGUUUGACCAAACUGCGGGAGGCAGUGGAAGACAGGAGUGCUCUGGUCCAUGGGGUCACGAAGAGUCGGACACGACUAAACGACUAAACAACAACAACAACAUUUAUUAUUAUUAUUAUUAUUAUUAUUAUUAUUAUUAUUAUUAUUAUACUACCCGAUACCUGCGGGUCUCAUGGCAGUUCACAGAAUAAAAUCAAGAUAUAAAACCACAAAAUACCUAAUAAAAAUAAAAACAACCUAAUAGGCCAAAUGCCUCAAGCUGACCCACAAAGCCUCCCUGUUGAAAGUCCCAGUUGGCCUGUGGAAUGGAAAACUGACCCAGGGGAUUACCACCUUUGCCCACUGGCUAGGAAAACAGCAGUUCCUUGGUUUUCUGAGCUGCCAGAAUUUAAGUGUCUGAGAUGGCUAAAGUACAGGUGGCAGCCUACUUGUAACAGAUCUGACCCAACACAACUUGGAGCUCCAUCUGUAAGCCUGCCCACCUAGCUUCCUUGGGCCACCCUGCUAGCUUGGCUCUCAUCCCCUCUGCCUCUUCAUCCCCAAAUACCUUCAGAGACUGCUUUGUCCCUUAUGAUGUUUAACAUGAACCAAAGGAUUGUACAUUUUAAGCCACGAGCUUUCUUCAAAUUAUGUCCACAUUUUGUUGAGCAUUGCCAAUCACAUUGGAUUCAUAAUUGGAACCACAGGCUGCUGUGGUACCCUUGGAGGCUUCAAUAUAGGAGAAAUGAGCGAAACCACUUGACCACAGGAUAUUUUAAAAGUCAUUGUAAAUAUGUGCAUGCAGUGAAAUGGGUGAUAUAAUACGCUGCUCAUGUGACCAUUUUCCACCGGGAUGAAAUCACGACUUUCUACUGGAACUGACUUUGUUAGUUCAGGGAGCCAUUGCUGACUUCAACUGUGUUUAUUUCUAUUAUUUUCUUAGUCUGGGUGGCAAAGGCCAUUAAGUAAAAGAAUUGCCACCCUCCAUUUCUUCUUUGGAGUAGGCAUUUGUGCCCCUUGCUAUGAGGCUCAUCUGGCACCUUCUUUAUGGUCAUUCUAGUGCCAGGUGAAUUUUUGUUCAUUCUCUUGGGCCUCCAAAAAACAACAACAAAUUGUGAUUUUACAGUUUUGAACCACCAUUUAUAUGCUGCGUAAUUUAGUCAUCUGGUUUUAUUCCAUCGGCUGGAAACGUUUAGGCUGCAAGGUGUUAUUUUAUAUUUGCCUUUUACGACGCAACCUUUUAGUAUUUUAAUUGUUAUUGUAUUGUGUUACGUCACCCUGAAAAUUAGUGAACAAUGUAAUUGGGCAAUCUUAUAUACUGUAACUAUAAGAAAUAAAUAAAUAUGAGUGCAAGAUCUAAACAUUAAGGAUACAGUACAGAAGAACUAUGUAGCAGAAAGACACGAUUGUGAAACAUCUUAAGGUGAAGAAAGGUUUUGUUUAAAGUCAACUCAGAAGUUCAAGCUUAUUUCUUGCUUCUGCUUGCUUAUCUAUAAACAUACCAGCAAGGAUUACCCGAUGAUUUCACAACAAUCAUGUGAAUGGGGAUUGGGUUUGGGAGGGGACAGGCUUAGGUUCAUGCACAGCUCCAUAGGACUAUCAGAGCUCUGCGAAACAUUGAUGGAUCACAUUGCAAGUAUUUACCAUUCAGACUACUAUUAUUGCAAUUAGUAGCUCACUAAAAGGAAACUCAGAGUAUGUGCUUGACAGUGUUUGUAUAACAAAAGCAGAGGCAAAAACGACUUGCUCCUGUAGCUGGAUAUGAAAACUAAACAGCUGGGGAACUGAAGAGCUGAAUUAUUUAUAUACAGAGGUAUUAAAAGUAAAUAAAAAGCCACAUAGUAAGCUCAGCAAUUUCAUUUGUCUUUUCUGAACUCCCUUCUCUCUUAGAACACAGCAUUUUGUUAAAAUAGAAUACAGAGACAUUCAAGUGGGAUACUACUAUUUUGGCAUGUGCAAAAAGAAAUGUUGACACAUAACUCAUUUUUUUUCAAAUUGGCACUAUUAGCAAGUGCUUAUGAAAUGCUCAUUAGAGUUUCCAGAAUUAAUGUGUUAAAAAAAAAACAACCCUCAAAAUCCAAUGUACUUAGCUGAGCUUCUACCAGGUGUUCUCUGUAUUAUGCACUUAAGGAUGUGUGCAUUUAUGUUUAUUAUUAUUAUUAUUAUUAUUAUUAUUAUUAUUAUUAUUAUUAUUUUAAACUGCCCUUCAACUGAUGGUCUCAGGAUGCAUAAAGGCAUAGAGUAAAAUGUAACAUAAAAUCAACAACAAAACCAUAAAAUUCUAUUGUAAAUCACUGCAGGAUGCCUCACAUGAGGCAUAAAGCCAGAUGAACCACAUGACUUUAAUAGGCAAUUAAAAGGCGUCAACAAGAGGACAAAUGUAUCUCUAAUGAAAGAGAGUGCCAUAACUGGGGUGCCGUAACCAGAAGGCCCUGCUAUAUAACAAUUUGGAAUAUUAUCAAUGGAACUGUAUGUAGGCAAUAUGGGAAAGCUUUCACAUACUGACACAUCUAGUAUAGGAAUUAUGAUCUGCCAUCUGAAGAAAAUAAUAUUAAGAGGAAAAUACUCUUUUUGAUUUUCAUAACAAAGGAUUAUGAGUUUCUGUGUUUCUGUUUCUGUGAGACGUUGUCUUUCUUUUACAGAUUUUCUAAAUAUCCAUCUAUAAUCUAUAAAUCAUAUAUGGCUAAAGAAUUAGGGUAGAUUCCCCCCCUUAAAUACCACCUUAAUUCUCUACCAUUUAAGAUAUAUGGACUUUGAGCAUUCAGGAGAGAAACAAACAGUGUCCAUGAGAAGAAAUGGGAAGGAUCCCCAAAAAGGUGAAAUCAGGCUUCCUUCAUAAAGGGAAAAAAUGCAGGAUUAUAAACUUGGAAACAUUGCUGAAGGUCCUCUAGUUCAAUCCCUUGGUGGUGAUAGUGUAGCUCCACCAUUCCUAACAGAUGCACAUUUAUUCUUUUUUAAGAAGAUAUCUCCAGAGAUAGGUAAUCUGCAACCUUUUUCAGGAAUCUGCUUCCAUUGUCCAAUGGCUUAUCUUUUAAAAAUACAUACAUUAUGUUUCCCUAAUAUUCAGAAUUUCAUUACCUCAUCAACCUUUUCAGAAUCAGGAUCACAGUGUUAAAUGCAGCAUCCCAGUAUAUGCAACACCUGCCCUACUCAGUUGAACUCAGAGUGUGUUUCCCAUGGGUGCAAAACUCUCUGCUACGUAUGUGAGAAGUCAAAAUAUAAAUAAAAGAAAGAAAGAACCCCCUCCCACCAUCAUAUAAACUCUUAAUGUUCAUACAUAUAUAUGAAUAUUUGUGAUGAACAAAACAGAGGAUUUUUUAUGUUGGUAGUUGAUGCUAAGUGAUUAUGGUGCUCAUCAACUUUGACAUCAAGACUGAGCAUUCAGCAAACAAAGCCUUUCUGAGCAUCCCAUUCUCAAAUGGGAUCUCAAAUCUGUAUAACUCCCACCUUGGAAACAACAUUGUGCCAUUUUUAUCAGAGCAGCUGAUGAAGAUGGAAGCCAAAUGUUUUGCCACACAGAUAAAAAAAUACUUGCAAUUAAUACUUGUUAAUUUCAAUAAUGUACAGUGGUACCUUGGUUUGCAACCGUUUUGGAUUACAACCAUUUUGGAUUACAACCACGUCAAACCCAGAAGUGCGUGUCCCUUUUUUUUUUAUUACAACCCUUUUUUUCUUUUUUUUUUAUUACAACCCUUGGGGGGGGGAAGCCUCAUUGGCGAAAGCGCGCCUUGGGUUACAACCUGUUUUGGUUUACAACCAGACCUCCAGAACAGAUUAUGGUUGUAAACCAAGCUACCACUGUAUAUAUUUUGUUAGUGAUUAAUGGAGUCCUAAAAGGGAUUCAGAGCAGGCUUGUGUUAAGUGGAGUUUGAUGCUUUGGUAUCAGGUUUUUUUAAAGUCAUCAUAAAAAAACUGUCAGCACUUUAGUGUGCAUUUCUCUUAAUAUACACAUUACUGUAGGUUCUUUUGCCUAACCUGCACAUCUUUGCAAGUAAUUUCCUCUAAAAUGCUUACCCUUACAUUCAAAGCCCUGGGGCCCGAAUGUCUGAGAGAAUGCCUGCUCCCAUAUAGACCCGCCCAUGACUUGAGAUCUGCAGACAAGGCCUUCUUCAUAGAGGGAGGUACAUAUAACGCAAGGGAAGGGGUCUGCAUGUGGGGAAUUCCCACCUCACUGAGGCCUCUUCAUUUUAUUCUUUCAGGAAACAGAUUGAGCUGUGUCUGCUUUAGCAGACUUUUGGAGGGGAUACGGUGAAGAGUUGUUAGUUGAUAUACAAUUGGACUGGUCUGGAAGUGUCAAAUAAUUCAAAACUGCUUUUUCCUAUUGUGUUUUACAUUUAUGAAUUUUUUUAUUAUAUUUGACCUGUAUUUUAUGGUAUUGCUUUUAUGUUUUUGUUGAGGUAUACUUACCACCAAAGGGCAACAUAUAGGACUGGUAAAUCAAUCAAUAAUAUAAUGCUAUUUAACAUGUCCACAAUAUACACAUUUUAAAGCACAAUACCCCCUAAUAUGCAUAUUCUUGUACGCAUUAUUAGGCUGAAGAACUGCAUCAUAGAAAUUUGGAAUACAGUAUAUGGAUUUCGAAAAAGAGCUGUGCUUUAGUCCGCAUGUUGGUUCGGCUCAUGCAAAUUAGGUGCAUUCACAUCAAAAUGGAAACCAAACCAAAUGUCUCCCCAUCCCUAAUAUGAAACAGUAUUCAUACAUUCAAUUUCCUGCACCCACCCCACAGUCUAGAUCAAGAAUAAUCCCGGGAGAGCUCCAACAGCACCAAGGUUUACAAGGGCCUUGAGAGGGACUGUACAAUGCAAAGAAAACCUUUAUUACUGUGCAGCUGUUGGGUUCCGUGAAAAUAAAAAAGGAUAUUUGUAAGGGUGCUUUGAUGUGAAUGCUCAGCUAAUGGCAGGGGUCUGGAUAUAACAAAAGAAGGUGGAAUGAUUACAGUCAUGUUCCUCUUUUCAGGUCUGAAUCCACUUUUUUUGGGUCCCAAAUAUGUGCUUCAGCAGCCCUUCAUACAAUAGCUCUGGUUAUUAUUUCAGCCUGAAUGAAGUCACCUGAAAUACAUCUUAUAAGUUCUCUAAAACAUGUGAUCUCUGAUCUAGUUCCACCAACAUCUUUAUUAUCCUAUAUUAUCAAAAUUUAAUAGUCCAUAUAAUGACCUUGUGUUUCAGAUCUGAUGCCAAAUAUAUCUGAUUUUCUUUCCUGGCAUUUCAGGUGCUCUAGGGAGUAAUCCAAGUACAUCUCAGCACUGCUAUUUUGGAAGGUUUCCAUAUUCAUAUGAACAUGGACGAGGUUUCCACAUAAGGUAAAGCUGUGGGGAAAUAUGAGAGCAAUGGGAGAUGGGGCAGAGGUAAAGAAAAGUGCAGAAGGGGUGGGGAGGAACUUACUAAAAGAAGGUUGAAAUGACUACAUAUCUCACACACACUCACCAUUUGGAACCAUUGCUGAAACAUGGGUAACAUUAAACAAAUGGCUCGGCCACUUUUCUUUUUCCAGGAAUAAGAUAAUGGAUAGCAGGCUGCCUUGGAUCAGUCUUGCCAAAAUGUUAAAUUUGACUACUGGUCAUUUCAACUUCUCAUGUUUGUUCACCUUAACUAACCUAUAGAGGCAGGCUAGUAUAAUUCAUGUUGCACCGAUGAAAACAGAGGCCUGACAUGAUUACUUCCCUAAGGCCACAAAAAGAUUUCAUAAUGUAAAUGAGGCUCAUGAACUUCACUUCUUGAAGUUGUAAGCCUGGCUUUCUAGACUAGCACCAGACAGCUUCCCACACCCCAUGAAGGUUUGUUUAUUCAUGGGGAUUGUAAACCAAGGGUAGGAGCCAACACUGAGCAGAGCAGAUCAUGAGCGAAGCCGCUCUUCUCUUGCUGCAAUCCCUCCUCUUUUUCUGACCUGAGAAAUUGAGAGAGAUGUUGGAAAAUAGAUGGGGGCAGAGAUGUAAGAAACCCUCCUCCUCUUCAUCCUGAAAGGCAAAAGCACAGUGUUAGUGAUGGGAAAAGAUAAGAGGAAGAUCCUUGGCCAACCUCUACCUCAACCAGCUCCUCCUCCUGUCCUGGGUCUGGCUGAUUGCCUUGCCUCAUCUCAGCUCCCUCCAUCUUCAUCACUGUACCUAACACUGGAAUUAUGGAUUCAAGAGUAGGAGACAAGACAGAUUUUUGCAGAUGGAGUAGGCAAGAGGGAAGUGGUUCCCAGCUAGCCUCUGCUGCAGUUGUGCCACUACCACAAAGAAAGCGGCCUACCAAUCCUUCUCAAAAAGCAAACAAAGGGGGGAAACAUACCCAAUCCCCUUCUGACACUGUGGGGUGGAUGGGAUUAGACUGAGGGCUGCAUCUGGUUCAUGGACAUGGAGGCUUCCCACCCCAGAUCUAGACCACCACACCGUUUUGCAGAAAUGCUUUAGCAUACAAAGUUUCCAUCAGUUUCAGAGUAAUCCUCCUUCAAGGGUUAAUAGGAUCUUUAAUUUCUUUAGCUCUCAGAGAUGCUAGGCAUGAGACUGCUUAUGUGUAGCUAGUGAGGAAUAAAAGUCCUUAACAGUCAACUCUUAAUAUCCAACAGAAAAUUCUGAUAUUGCUAAUUUUCAGUGCUGAUUCGUAUUGUUUUGCAAGAACCUCAUAAGCAGAAAUGCCUUCCAUGUUUAAUUCCCUGCUUCUGCUGUAAUGCUCAGUGUGGGGUUCACAAAUUUCAUCACCGAUGUAAUCUAUGAGUUCCUGCAAUGAUCAGGAAUGCCAACCAUGUCUCCUCCAGUCAAACAAAACUAGUUAUUGCUUAUUUGUGUGUAAGCAUAUCCACAUUCAAAAUUGCCCAGGAAAUAGCAUUGUCGCGCGCUCUCUCUCUCUCUCUCUCUCUCUCACUCUCUCUCUCACACACACACACUUAAUCCCCCCCCAAAUAAACAGGGGGAAAUCUCAAAUGCCACUUACCAAUAAACUCCUCCAGCAUUACUUCCAACUUUCUUUGCACAUUUUCUUUGCUCUGUCUUUUUCACUCUCUAUCUUUUGCUAUGACAUUUCUCUCUCUAAUUUUAUCAGUAACAAGCCUUGAAUAGUAGCACUGUAGUCUACAAGCAGUCUUUGCACAGAGAUGAAAAUCAGACUUUUCUAAGAAUAACUUUUGAAUUAUUGAUAUGUUCAAAGAAUACUUAGACUCAGCAGAAACUCAACCAUUUAAAAAAGAGUAUUGAGCAGCAUAUAUUUCUUUACAUCAUCCUACAGUUUAGCAGCUGAAUCUACAUCUGCCUCAACUUAUAGGCAGGUAGAGUUUGCCAACCUGCACGGUCACUUUAUUUAUUUGAGGCAAGCGAAAGUGGAAGAGAUUUAAGCAUGGGAUAUGUUCAUGUUAGAAAACUUGAGUGGCCACUUACAACCAGAAAAGAAGAUACAUAUCACUCAAAAAGAAAAUAAAUCCAGACACAUAUUUGCAUAAAGUUUGCAAAUGCUAAUAAUAUAUGUAAAGAUACAAAUUACAAUAUAAUAUAUAUAUCUGGCCAUAUUGGGAUAUAUUGUCACCAGAUAACACUCCUUCCCACCCCAGCUGUGCUUGUUUAGCCUGCUGUCCAACGAUGAAAAUUUGAUGGGAAAUUCAUCGCCCUUCUUCUUCAAGGCCC